rnacentral:rRNA from 1 species
GACGAACGCUGGCGGCGUGCUUAACACAUGCAAGUCGAGCGACGCACCCCCCUCGGGGGGUGACGGAGCGGCGAACGGGUGAGUAACACGUGAGCAACCUGCCCCUGACACUGGGAUAAGCCCGGGAAACCGGGUCUAAUACCGGAUACGACCACCGGGGACAUCCUCUGGUGGUGGAAAGCUCCGACGGUCAGGGAUGGGCUCGCGGCCUAUCAGCUAGUUGGUGGGGUAACGGCCCACCAAGGCGUCGACGGGUAGCCGGCCUGAGAGGGUGAUC